UGUUGGUCGUAGUCGUGGUACUUCUGCUGGUGCUGUCUCCGCAUGCGCCCUGCCACUUCUCUCCAUGUAUGUGCAGCUACUGUUUCUUUCUUUCUCUCAUUGUGCCUGCCUGCUGCUACCACCUCUCUAUGGUUGUUGUUGCCGCUGCUCCUCUCUCUACUAUUGCUCCUCCUGGCUCCUGCCAUAGGAUUUCUCUUCCCUCUCUCCCUUAGUGGAUAAGCCCGUGCAGAUCCUCAAUGUUUUUUUGUGUCUACUUAUGUAUGAGCUCAUGCCUUCUAUCUGUUCGGUGUUAUGCUCAUAAGAACUAAAAUUGAUUGUUUCAAGUUUUUUUGUGGGAUUCUGAGAGUUAGGACAACUGCAAAUUGACAAUACGAGCACACAUGGUUCAAGAUUUCGUGUUUCAUGCCUUCUACCUGUUCGACGUUAUGCUCAUAAGAACUAAAACUGAUUGUUUCAAGUUUUUUUGUGGGAUUCUGAGAGUUAGGACAACUGCAAAUUGACAAUACGAGCACACAUGGUUCAAGAUUUCGUGUUUCAUGCCUUCUACCUGUUCGACGUUAUGCUCAUAAGAACUAAAACUGAUUGUUUCAAGUUUUUUUGUGGGAUUCUGAGAGUUAGGACAACUGCAAAUUGACAAUACGAGCACACCUGGUUCAAGAUUUUGUGUUGAUUUUGAUUUGGUGAAUUUUGCCUUGCUAUAUGGGUGGCGCAGAGCCGACUGCUCGAUAUGGUUUACCCUGGAGUGGUGAAGUUUCGCAAGGUGAAUUUUGAUGCAAAGACGGAACGCGACAUGAUCCAUGACUAUAAGGUUCCCUCGGACGUGUUUAACAAGCUGCAGAUAAAUGAGAUAAGCAAGAAAAAUUCAAACUCUACAGUCAGUGAACUGCAGGCACAACCUGUUCGAACAAAGCACUGGAUGUUUGUGAGGUGUUGGUCUUCCUCUUUGGGGACGCCCACACCCACUACUCCGGCGGGGCCAUGGGCGGCCAAGUCUGCAUGAACAAGGGGCACGGUGGCGGCACAAAUUUCUUGGCAUUCAUUGAUCAAUCGGUGUGCUAAGGGUGCCUCAGCGGGGAAGAUGAGUGCUGUAGAUGGGCGUCUUUGCGGAUUUCGACUAAUGGGAAGAGGAAAGACGGGAUGGAUUGCACCAUAGCCAUGAACAAGACUAAGAGAUCAAUACAACAAAUUCCAUUCAUGGGUGAGGACCCUUGAAGAAAACGACAUGCUGACGGCGAAGGAAGAAGAAAACAGAACAUCUUACGGACUCCCUCUUCGACAACAAAGUUGAGAUCUCGAUCCCUACUGAAGAGAACGCAGGCCCCGGUCCAGCUGUUGACCUCCCAACGCUGUGCUUGAUCCCGAUGACAAAGCAAAACUCGCUCCAGUUCACAACCUCCCCACACCAAAAAUGGAACUGACCAUCACCCUCUCCCCAGACUACAAAGACAACAAUGCCGGACACUGACAGCUUGAAGAAAUAGGAACACCGGCACCCCAGUCUUAGCAUGACAUCCACUAUGUAUCUAUGUAGUGAUCUACUGUGCUAUUAUCACUGCCUAAUAUUACCGUUUUAGUGACUCAAUAGUCAAUACUAUGAAAUCAGUGAUCGGGUACGAUGUACCAACACCA